UGCAGCUUUAAUUUCGGAUCAGUUCAUCUCAGAAACAAUGAGCCCUCUGAGACCUAACUCAUGAGUUCACCUAAUGAUUUGUCUACAAUUGUGCUUGGCCUGUUCCUUGAUUUUCUACCAUUCUGAAUCAUUAUGAUUUAGAUUAAUUCUGCCUACGUUAGUGACCAUCUAUGUCCAGAGUAUAAAAUGAUGGGAUUGAACUUUGCAAGGAAGAUUUCAUCAGAAAGUAUUGUCACCAGAAUAAAUUUUUUCUCAAGACCAUGAGAGAGAGAGAGAGAGAGAGAGAGAAGAAGAAGAAGAAGAAGAAGAAGAAGAA